rnacentral:rRNA from 1 species
ACGGGUGAGUAAUGUCUGGGAAACUGCCCGAUGGAGGGGGAUAACUACUGGAAACGGUAGCUAAUACCGCAUAACGUCGCAAGACCAAAGUGGGGGACCUUCGGGCCUCACACCAUCGGAUGUGCCCAGAUGGGAUUAGCUAGUAGGUGGGGUAACGGCUCACCUAGGCGACGAUCCCUAGCUGGUCUGAGAGGAUGACCAGCCACACUGGAACUGAGACACGGUCCAGACUCCUACGGGAGGCAGCAGUGGGGAAUAUUGCACAAUGGGCGCAAGCCUGAUGCAGCCAUGCCGCGUGUAUGAAGAAGGCCUUCGGGUUGUAAAGUACUUUCAGCGGGGAGGAAGGCGAUACGGUUAAUAACCGGGUCGAUUGACGUUACCCGCAGAAGAAGCACCGGCUAACUCCGUGCCAGCAGCCGCGGUAAUACGGAGGGUGCAAGCGUUAAUCGGAAUUACUGGGCGUAAAGCGCACGCAGGCGGUCUGUCAAGUCGGAUGUGAAAUCCCCGGGCUUAACCUGGGAACUGCAUUCGAAACUGGCAGGCUAGAGUCUUGUAGAGGGGGGUAGAAUUCCAGGUGUAGC